AAGCUCGUAGUUGAAUUUCGGGAUUAGUACGUUGGUCGUGCCUUAGGUACGUACUGGUGUUACUGGUUCCUACCUUCUGACGAACCAUCAUGUCAUUAAUUUGGUGUGGUGGGGAAUCAGGACUGUUACUUUGAAAAAAUUAGAGUGUUUAAAGCAGGCUCGCGCUUGAAUACAUUAGCAUGGAAUAAUGAAAUAGGACGUUGAUCCUAUUUUGUUGGUUUCUAGGAUUGACGUAAUGAUUAAUAGGGAUAGUUGAG
rnacentral:rRNA from 1 species